UACACUGAUGCGUUCAACGAGUAUACAACCUUGAUCGAUAGGUCUGGGUAAUCUUGUGAAUGCGCAUCGUGCUAGGGAUAGACUGUUGCAAUUUUCAGUCUUGAACGAGGAAUUCCUAGUAAACGCAAGUCAUCAGCUUGCAUUGAUUACGUCCCUGCCCUUUGUACACACCGCCCGUCGCACCUACCGAUUGAAUGACUCGGUGAAAAAUUGGGACCGUGAGUCCGUUUGCUUCAUUGCGAGUGGAUUGAUGGGAACUUUUUUAAACCUCGCCAUUUAGAGGAAGGUGAAGUCGUAACAAGGUUUCCGUAGGUGAACCUGCGGAAGGAUCAUUA
rnacentral:rRNA from 1 species